CCUACGGGUGGCAGCAGUGAGGAAUAUUGGUCAAUGGGCGUAAGCCUGAACCAGCCAAGUCGCGUGGGGGAUGAAGGUUCUAUGGAUCGUAAACCUCUUUUAUAAGGGAAUAAAGUGCGGGACGUGUCCCGUUUUGUAUGUACCUUAUGAAUAAGGAUCGGCUAACUCCGUGCCAGCAGCCGCGGUAAUACGGAGGAUCCGAGCGUUAUCCGGAUUUAUGGGGGUUAAAGGGUGCGUAGGCGGCCUUUUAAGUCAGCGGUGAAAGUCUGUGGCUCAACCAUAGAAUUGCCGUUGAAACUGGGAGGCUGGAGUGUGUUAGAGGCAGGCGGAAUGCGUGGUGUAGCGGUGAAAUGCUUAGAUAUCACGCAGAACCCCGAUUGCGAAGGCAGCAUGCCAAGGCAUGACUGACGCUGAUGCACGAAAGCGUGGGGAUCAAACAGGAUUAGAUACCCUGGUAGUC
rnacentral:rRNA from 1 species